rnacentral:rRNA from 1 species
CCUACGGGUGACAGCAGUGAGGAAUAUUGGUCACUGGACGAGAGUCUGAACCAACCAAGUAGCGUGAAGGAUGACUGCCCUAUGGGUUGUAAACUUCUUUUAUAUGGGAAUAAAAUGUUCCACGUGUGGGAUUUUGUAUGUACCAUAUGAAUAAGGCUCGGCUAACUCCGUGCCAGCAGCCGCGGUAAUACGGAGGAUCCGAGCGUUAGCCGGAUUUAGUGGGUUUAAAGGGUGCGUAGGUGGAUUGUUAAGUCAGUUGUGAAAGUUUGCGGCUCAACCGUAAAAUUGCAGUUGAAACUGGCAGUCUUGAGUACAGUAGAGGUGGGCGGAAUUCGUGGUGUAGCGGUGAAAUGCUUAGAUAUCACGAAGAACUCCGAUUGCGAAGGCAGUUCACUGGACUGCAACUGACACUGAGGCUCGAAAGUGUGGGUAUCAAACAGGAUUAGAUACCCGAGGAGUC